AGAUGUGAGGGCGAUCUGGCUGCGACAUCUGUCACCCCAUUGAUCGCUAGGGUUGAUUCAGCUGAUCUGGCUGGCUAGGCAGGUGUCCCCUUCCUCCCUCACCGCUCCAUGUGCAUCCCUCCUGAAGCUGCGUGCUCCGUAGAAGACGGCCUUCCCUGAAUAGAGAUGGACCCGGUCUUCGGUCCAUCUUGGGUAUACGAGUAGCUGCGCUCCCCUGCUAGAACCUCCAAACAAGCUCUCAAGAAAGGAAGCACCGUGGUCAGGGAAAUACUUCAACUGGUCAUGCAUAGGACUUUCAUGGGUAAGACUCCCUGGUUGC
rnacentral:snRNA from 1 species